GCAGUGAGUGCCUCCCGUCUCUUCUACCCGAACCCCCCCUCCCCCCCCAGCAGAGAGACCCCAGCAGCAGCAGCAGCUGAUGAUGAAGAGAGAGGCAGUGGCAGAGGGGGGGCACCUUUUAUUUCUAUUUUUAAAGGGGCAGGACACUAAUUUUACCCCACUUCAACCUUGAAUUGAGGGGGGUGGGGGGAAGGCGGCUGAGUUCCUUCCCCCACCCUCCAGCCCUGAGACCUGAGAGGGGGAUUGAGCCUGAGAGAAGAAGGAGUUUCUUCUUCUUCGAAAACCCCCAUCCACGACUCCUACCCCCUCACCCCUCCACUAGCCUCCCUCCCGAGCCCCCUCCACCCUCCUCCUCUUUGGCCGUGAGAGGAGGAGAGAAAGAGACCAAAGCCUCUUAGCAACACAGACCCUUCUCUGCUGCUGCUGCUGCUGCUGCUGCUGCUGCUGUUGCUGCUGCUGCUGCUGCUGCUGCUGCUGCUGCUGCUGCUGCUGCUGCUGCUGCUGCUGCUGCUGCUGCUUGGCCCUGGCUGGAGACAUCUCACUACACCCAGGAGCAGCCACUUCCCCAGCUCUCCUCCUCCUUCGCCUCCUCCUCCUCCACUCCCCCCCUUUAUUACCCUUUGUGUCAUCCUCCACAGCUCCAGGGAAGGCACUCAAAAGUGGGGGGCAGGAAAGACACUUACCAACUUUCCAGUUUUCUAUGGAUAUGAAGAUUUACUCCUAGUCAUCAGUGGGACCCCAUGAAGUCAGCCAGAAAGCCUAUAUCCAACUUAUGUACCUUUGCAAACUUGUCUGUAUUUUGAAUGUAUGUGCAAAACAGAUUGUACUUAGGUAUUCAUUAAACAUCUUUUGAGCAUCUA